UACGUAGGCAGCGAGCGUUGUUCGGAAUUACUGGGCGUAAAGAGUGUGUAGGCGGUGCUCUAAGUUCGGUGUGAAAUCUCCCGGCUUAACUGGGAGGGUGCGCCGGAAACUGGAGUGCUCGAGCGUGGGAGAGGAAAGCGGAAUUCCUGGUGUAGCGGUGAAAUGCGUAGAUAUCAGGAGGAACACCUGCGGUGUAGACGGCUUUCUGGACCAUAGCUGACGCUGAGACACGAAAGCGUGGGGAGCAAACAGG
rnacentral:rRNA from 1 species